GUCUGGCCUGCUUGAGAGUCAGGCCCCGCCCCUCAGGCUGCAACUUUUUAAGAGCCCACACCACCACUAGACAUUCUUUCUUGAUGGUGGCAUAGCUCACCUUCCAUGGUAGUAACUUCCUGCUGAGGUAAACUAAUGGAUUUUUUCCGCCACCAUCCCCGACCUGGCUCAGCACGGCUCCCAACCCAAGCAUGGAAGCAUCUAUGUGGAUAAGAAAGCGUUUAGUUGGAUUAGGAGUGGUCAGGAUGGGACUAAGCGGUUCACGAAGACUAUUAAAUUCCUGGAAGGCUUGCUCCUGGGUCCAGUUCACUUGACGAGGUAAAUUUUUUUCAAGUCAGGUCAGUUAGGGGCUUGGCUAGAGCACCGUAGUAUGGGACAAAUCUUCUGUAAUCCCUAGAAAAGCCAUUACCUGGGUUUUUGUAUGGGGAGUGGGCCAGUUAGCUACUGCCUCAAUUUUAGCUGGCUUGGGGUUCUGCUUCCCACAGCCCACCUGGUGCCCUAGGUAUUGGACCUCCACCAUGCCUAUAUGGCACUUACUGGGCUUUA